rnacentral:rRNA from 1 species
AUACGGAGGGAGCAAGCGUUAUUCGGAAUCACUGGGCGUAAAGGACGCGUAGGCGGGUUUGUAAGUCAGGUGUGAAAUCCUACAGCUCAACUGUAGAACUGCACUUGAAACUACAGACCUAGAGUAUGGAAGGGGCAGAUGGAAUUAGUGGUGUAGGGGUAAAAUCCGUAGAUAUCACUAGGAAUACCGAAAGCGAAGGCGAUCUGCUGGGACAUUACUGACGCUGAGGCGUGAAAGCGCGGGGAGCAAACAGGAUUAGAAACCCCUGUAGUCC